CCUACGGGAGGCACCAGUGGGGAAUAUUGGACAAUGGGCGCAAGCCUGUUCCAGCCAUGCCGCGUGAGUGAAGAAGGCCUUAGGGUUGUAAAGCUCUUUCACCGGUGUAGAUAAUGACGGUAACCGGAGGAGAAGCCCCGGCUAACUUCGUGCCAGCAGCCGCGGUAAUACGAAGGGGGCUAGCGUUGUUCGGAAUUACUGGGCGUAAAGCGCGCGUAGGCGGAUAGAUAAGUCAGAGGUGAAAUCCCGGGGCUCAACCCCGGAAUUGCCUUUGAUACUGUUUAUCUUGAGUGCAGAAGAGGUAAGUGGAAUUCCGAGUGUAGAGGUGAAAUUCGUAGAUAUUCGGAGGAACACCAGUGGCGAAGGCGGCUUACUGGUCUGCAACUGACGCUGAGGCGCGAAAGCGUGGGGAGCAAACAGGAUUAGAUACCCCCGUAG
rnacentral:rRNA from 1 species